AGACGAUGGGGAUGCGUUCCAUUAGAUAGUAGGCGGGGUAACGGCCCACCUAGUCUUCGAUGGAUAGGGGUUCUGAGAGGAAGGUCCCCCACAUUGGAACUGAGACACGGUCCAAACUCCUACGGGAGGCAGCAGUGAGGAAUAUUGGUCAAUGGACGAGAGUCUGAACCAGCCAAGUAGCGUGAAGGAUGACUGCCCUAUGGGUUGUAAACUUCUUUUAUAUGGGAAUAAAGUUUUCCACGUGUGGAAUUUUGUAUGUACCAUAUGAAUAAGGAUCGGCUAACUCCGUGCCAGCAGCCGCGGUAAUACGGAGGAUCCGAGCGUUAUCCGGAUUUAUUGGGUUUAAAGGGAGCGUAGAUGGAUGUUUAAGUCAGUUGUGAAAGUUUGCGGCUCAACCGUAAAAUUGCAGUUGAUACUGGAUAUCUUGAGUGCAGUUGAGGCAGGCGGAAUUCGUGGUGUAGCGGUGAAAUGCUUAGAUAUCACGAAGAACUCCGAUUGCGAAGGCAGCCUGCUAAGCUGCAACUGACAUUGAGGCUCGAAAGUGUGGGUAUCAAACAGGAUUAGAUACCCUGGUAGUCCACACGGUAAACGAUGAAUACUCGCUGUUUGCGAUAUACUGCAAGCGGCCAAGCGAAAGCGUUAAGUAUUCCACCUGGGGAGUACGCCGGCAACGGUGAAACUCAAAGGAAUUGACGGGGGCCCGCACAAGCGGAGGAACAUGUGGUUUAAUUCGAUGAUACGCGAGGAACCUUACCCGGGCUUGAAUUGCAACUGAAUGAUGUGGAGACAUGUCAGCCGCAAGGCAGUUGUGAAGGUGCUGCAUGGUUGUCGUCAGCUCGUGCCGUGAGGUGUCGGCUUAAGUGCCAUAACGAGCGCAACCCUUAUCUUUAGUUACUAACAGGUCAUGCUGAGGACUCUAGAGAGACUGCCGUCGUAAGAUGUGAGGAAGGUGGGGAUGACGUCAAAUCAGCACGGCCCUUACGUCCGGGGCUACACACGUGUUACAAUGGGGGGUACAGAAGGCAGCUACCUGGUGACAGGAUGCUAAUCCCAAAAGCCUCUCUCAGUUCGGAUCGAAGUCUGCAACCCGACUUCGUGAAGCUGGAUUCGCUAGUAAUCGCGCAUCAGCCAUGGCGCGGUGAAUACGUUCCCGGGCCUUGUACACACCGCCCGUCAAGCCAUGGGAGCCGGGGGUACCUGAAGUGCGUAACCGCGAGGAGCGCCCUAGGGUAAAACUGGUGACUGGGGCUAAGUCGUAACAAGGUAGCCGUACCGGAAGGUGCGGCUG
rnacentral:rRNA from 1 species